rnacentral:lncRNA from 1 species
GUCAUAUACACAUAUAUAUAUAUUAGCUCUGUACGGAUAAAAUCAAGUUAUCACUAUUAAGGAACUUGAAGAAAGAGGAGGGCGAAAAUGAACAGCAGAUUGAUUCCAGCUCUUUUCUUGUGUAUGUUGUUUCUUAAUACACACCAGAUAGUAAAUGGUAUGUACUUAAUAUAAUUUAAAAAAAAAUGUUUUCAUUUUAAUACUACCGUUUUAAAGACAUACUUCUUGAUUAGUAUCAAAUUUAAUAAAAAUCAAAUUUGAUAUUUAUGAAUGAGAUGUGAUGUAAACGUCACAAUGCAAAAUUGAUUUGUAUCAUUGUGAUUAGUUAAGCACUUUCAAUUGGUGUUAUAGUUUGUUCAAUGCCAAUGGUUAAGGGUUGGGUAGGUGUCCGCUAACUUAAUUAACUUUGCCCCAAUUCUGUAUGUGUCUUCUCAAUUCUGAAGCCUGUAAUUUAGAGAUUGUCGUUUAUUUCUAUAUAUUUGCUUUUGGUUCAUUAAUUUGUACAUAAUUCAGGACUUUAGUUUUCUCGUUUGUUUUGUUUUUACAUUUGUCAUUUCGGGGCCAUUUUUAUAACUGAAUAAGCGGUAUUGGUUUUACUCAUUUGGGAAGGCAGUACUGUAACAUAUAGUGGUUAAUGUCUGUGUCAUUUGGGCUCUUGUGAAGAGUUGUCUCAUUGACAAUCAUACCACAUCUUCUUAUUUCUAUAUAAUAACAUCAGAAAAGAAAAUCGGAAAAUUUAUAAGAAAAAAAUUACCAUUAGUUCAUGGUUUAAGUAAGUUUGAUCAAGUGUUGACACAUAGAAUGUUAAAGAUCUGUAAUUUGCAAUAUAAAAAUCCCUUCCUCAUUCUAAGCCCCUAGUCCUAUUUUUUAUGUUCUGUUCAAUAAAUAGUGUUUUGUUGUCAGUGAUCUUGGGUUUUCUUUUUGUCACAAGUUAUUUGUUUGAAUUCGAUAGAUGAUUUUUUGUUGGCCGCUGUGUGUCGUCGUUCUCCUUUUUUGUUAUGGGAUUUUCAAAGACACAUGGAAAGUGUGGACGUAAAAAAAUGUUUUUAAAAUGCAGCCUUGAAUCAAAGUUGAUAUAUAUAUAUUUGUUUUAGUUUGACACGGGUAGUAAGAAAAAAAAAGUCGGUUAUACAUUUUGAUAAAAAAAAUUUCCAUAAAUACUAUUUUUUACCUGAUUAAAUCAAAUAUGCAAUAAAAAAUAAACCUUCAUGUGCUACUUUUUGAGUAAAAAGAGGUCGAAAUUUUGUAUAUUUGCUCAAAAGUAGGAUUUGUGGCCGUAUUUUCCCUUUCGAAAGAAAGACAUAACUUUUUUGUUUUAAAAGAUAAACACAAUUUCUUUUUUAUUUUAAAAGAUAAACCCAAUUUCUUUUUUUGUUAAAUAAUUUGUAAUUUCUGUAUUUUAUAAGAAUCCUUAAAAUUCAUACAUUUUUUUUAUCAGAAAUAACUCAUAUUUAUCGAAUGUUCAUGAAUGUAGAAAAAAACAUCAUUUUUUGCUGUAUAUUUAUCAAAUUUAAGAAAAUGCACUAUUUACGUUACGUGCAUCAUGAAAUUUGGCACACAUAAUCUUCUCCCGUAAUCAAACCAAAUGGCAUUUUUCAAAAAGAGGGGUCAAUGAACUCGUUUUCAAGUUAAAUAAGUUUGAAUGAUAAAAAUCAGUCGAAAACUGAAUCUUUUCCCGAUAAUAAAAUUAACGGUACCAAUUUUCUUGCACCAGAUGCGCAUUUCGACAAUACAUGUCUCUUCAGUGAUGCUGGAGUUUGACGUAGCGAAAAUAACAAUUUACGUUAGCAACAUCAUUACCUCCCCUAUAACUGUAUCGUAUACCCUUAAUGUAAUAGCCCAUGAAAAUGUUGACUCUAGCCAUAGUUACAAUUAGAAAAGAUGUUUAUGACUGAAAGUAUCAACGAGCCAUUUAUAAAUCAAGCAAUUUUCUUUCGAUAUGAUCUGAUUAUUGGUUCAGUCGUAGUGUAGCAAGUCCUUACAUAAUGCAAACUUUGCUUACUUCAGUUAACCUUUGAGAUAUAAAUGAAAUAUUUAAGUUAUGAGUAAAAUCUCUUUUUUUAUUGAAAGUAUUACAUAUAGCUAUUAUAGUAAAUAAACGAUAUGCUAUUUUACAUGAAUACAUUUAAAAUAUCGGUGAUCGACGUUACUAUCAUUUUCAGGUUCUGUUAUACCAGUUCAAGAUGGUACCAAUCCAAACACCUGUGUAUGUUCAACGGGAUUAGUUUGUGACGAGGCAACCAACAUGUGCAUUGAAGGCAAGACAAUUUCGUUUAUCUAAUAAUUAAUAAACAUCAUUUCAUUUUUACUUGACAUUGUCAAGUCUAAACUAAAUGCUGAUUUGUUUAAAUGUAUAACAAAGUUUAAACAGUAGAUAGAGUAUGAUGAGCAAUCAGUGUUAAACAUCGGCUUACAGCAUUAACGGUAACAAAUUAUAUUGCAACAGAUGUGCACUUCGAAAAGUCAUAUCUUUUCAGUGAUGGUCGAGGUUAACGUGCGAAUCAUUUUGUUAAAUGUGUGACUAAACAAUUUAAAAUUCGAUAUAUUUCGGUUGUAACAAAAUCAUAUAAAUUGUGUUUUUUUUUUCUUUUCAUUUGUUUGCUUGCACAAGUAAAAUGAGUUUGUAGUCUUAGAUGAUCGUUUUGAUUUUAACAUCAUCUGAACAAAUAUGUUUUAGUCGUGUUCAGUCAUUCAGUCCAUAUUCAUGCUCGUGUUUAUGUGACGUUUUGAGCAAAUUAUUAAGUCAGGGAUUUCGUUAUAACAAAUAACUUUUAAAAAACUUACUAAAUUUUUCCAUCGAUACAAAGAUAUGAUUUGUAAGUUAAGCUGUACCUUAUUUCAAACGAGAUAGCAUAUCCUUAUUCUAACGGAGAUGUUGUUACAAAGCCCGGAUUCAGAUACCAUCCGGGUAAACUAAUCAAUCCUCUCAAUAAACUUAUUCUAAAAAAUUACCAAAUUCAACACUGUAAUUAGAUAUGAAAAUACUGUUUUUAUUGGUAUAAAUAUUGAUUUUGUAAAUUAAAACCAACAUUUUAUUAUUGUUAUAAACAUACAAAUAUGCACAUUCACGGUUCUACAAUAUGUAGAUAUAUGCUUUUAAACAUCUCAACUAUGUUCCACCACGCCACAUUCUGUAUGUGCCUUUGUCAAUUCGGGAAACUAUAAUACAAUGGUUGUCGUGUUUUCUAAAUAUCAUAUUUGUAUUUUUUUUCAUUGUUGUUUUUUUACAUAAUCCAGGCCGUUAAUUUUCUCGUUUGAAUUGUUUUACAUUUGUCAUUUCGGGGCCUUGUAUAGUUGAAUAUGCGGUAUGGUUUUUGCCCGUUGUUGAAAGUCGUACAGGGAACUAUAGUUGGUUUCUAAUGUCAUUUGGUAAUUAUACCACAUCCGCGGAUUUUUUUCAUUAUCCACUGCGGUAAAUUAGAUAAAGUUUAGACUUAGCUACUUUCAUUUAAAAAAUAUGUUUGUAUGUCUUACCGUAAAAAUAUUUUUGUGAACAUUACAUUGCAAAUCGCUUCAGCUUGCCGGUCUAGCACAAAGACGGGUUAAUGGUCAUAAUAAUGUUAUCUCGUAAUGAUAAUUAUGCAUGUUAUACGAUAUUGUGUUAUGUUGUUGCUUACGAUAUUGAAUAUAAUAUAUAUUCUGCUGCAGUAUUUCCAUGAAACAUACUUUUAAUUUUAUUUCUUGAUAAUAAUAUUUACACAAUUGUAGAUGACGACAGUUCACAUCAUAAUCCUGGGAUGCCAAUAGGGUAAUAUUUGGAUGGAUGACAAACAAAAUGCAAAUACAACGUACAAGCGUUAAUUACAAAAAGAAACAUUUACAAUAAACAAUAAACAUAUUUGUUUUUCG